CUGGAUGGGACAAAUGCAAUUAUGACCUUUGACCUCAGAUCAGGUAGGGUUACCC
rnacentral:rRNA from 1 species